rnacentral:rRNA from 1 species
AUCGAACGCUGGCGGCAGGCCUAACACAUGCAAGUCGAGCGGCGCGGGGGAAGGGUGAGUAAUGCCUAGAGAUCAGCCGGUUAGUGGGGGAGAACGACCGGAGAGGGACGCUAAUACCGAAUACGAUCAGAUCAGCCUAGGUCGGAUUAGCUAGUUGGUGGGGUAAAGGCCUACCAAGGCGACGAUCAGUACCUGGUCUGAGAGGAUGAUCAGUCACACUGGAACUGAGACACGGUCCAGACUCCUACGGGAGGCAGCAGUGGGGAAUAUUGGACAAUGGGCGAAAGCCUGAUCCAGCCAUGCCGCGUGUGUGAAGAAGGUCUUCGGAUUGUAAAGCACUUUAAGUUGGGAGGCGGUACCAACAGAAUAAGCACCGGCUAACUUCGUGCCAGCAGCCGCGGUAAUUC